UCCACCGCUGCCAGAGGAAGCAAACACAGUGGUGUCAGGCCCUGCCUCACAGAUGUGCCACAGAACAGAACAGGCACAGGGCAGCUGGCGUGGGACCACAGUUCAUGCAUCCAGGAAUCUGAGGGGCCACUGCCCGGCUGGGGCAGGUGGACAUCCCAGUGGCUGGGCCGUGGCUCCGUGGGACCCAAGUUUGUGACCUGCACAGGAGUUCAGAGUGGCAGAGCGUGAGCUGUGAGUCCCUUCAUUCUCUGUCCACAUCAGAGGAGUAUGUGUACAGUGAUCGCUUGCUGCCAUAACACAGUCACAGAUCUACAUGUGUUCUCUGACUCUCAGCUGGGGCUCCAUCAGGGCCUGCUCUGGGCUCACCUGUGUGACCACUGAGCUCAGCUUCCUCGUCUGAGAAGCAUCCGGACUGGCCUUCCCACCCCCGCAUUCCUAGGGCUUCCACACUCCUUUCUGGCCAUGAGUCAGUCCUCAGUGGAUGACCAGCGGCCUGGGGUGGCCCUCUGAUUCUCUCACCUGUACUCAGGGGGUUGAACCUCACUCUUCUCUGCCAAAACCAACCAAUGAAUAAAUAAACAAACAAGCAUAGAACUCCUAAAAAUGCAGGAUGCGCUUGCUGGCUG